rnacentral:lncRNA from 1 species
UUCUGAUUGACUCCUCUAGAGAGCUCCUUGCCUUCCCUUCUCACCACCAGCCUCAUCCACUAGAGGUUGCUCUUAUAUCUAAUCCACGAUUACUCUUGGCAGCACAAUCCCUUCAAACCACACAUUUUGAGUAACAGAAACCCUGAAGACAGCUAAAGGAUGUCAAGAUACUCAAGACAUCUUUUUCAUGACAAAAAUCUUAUCCAGGAGCUGAAUUCCUCCCCACUUGAAAAGUCAGAGAGCAGUUAGAGCCAGAAGAGAUCAACCUGGAGAGAGUAGAAAAUGUCAUGGAAUCCAAGGACUACCAUAGCCAAAAAUGACUCUGAUUUCAGAUGUGAGCAUGCAGGGAAUUUCAGCUGUUCUACAUUCUCGCCAAUAUUCUGUAUGGUCCUAUAUACGAGAGCUUAAAGAACUCAUUACCGCCAGUUCUCCACUAGAAGAGAUGUUAAAGGAAGUCCUUCUUUCAAGUAGAAAAAAAUGUCAUCGGAUAGAAAUAUAAAUUUACACAGAAGAAUAAAAAGCACCAGAAAUGCUACCAACAUGGGAGGCCUGCAGCUGUGUUCCAGAUCACGAGGAAGUGUAAGCAGGAUGAUACUUUCUUCCCCAAAAGCUGUCCAUGCUUCAUUCCCGGAAACCUGUGAAUGUUACAUCCCAUUGCACAAGGGACUUUUGCAGAUGUGAUUAAGGGUAUGGACUUUAUAACGAAUGGCCUAGAUCCACCCAGGCUCCAGUGGAACACAGCUUCAUAUUCAGAAAUGUAAAUCAGAAGCUUAGUCAUAUUUAUUAAACAAACCAUUAUGGAUCAAACUUUAUUUGGAUAAACCACAAGAUUCACAGAUAGAAAGAAACCCUGGGGAAUGCAACAUUUUCAUAAUUUAAAAAAUUUAAUGCGCAAGAAAGAGACUUUGACUUCUCCAUUUCUAAAAGAUAGUCUCUAGAAAUGAUUGAAGAUAAACAUAAAAAUUUGACUUCAAGGAUAUUCUCUGUUGCAGUGAAUGGAUACAACCCAGAUGUUCAAAAACAAGAAAUAACUAUAUAAAAUUUAGCACAAACAUCCAAUGGAACGCUAUGCAAUAAUUAAAAAUUGUAUUUUAUAAUCAUAAUUUUUGC